rnacentral:rRNA from 1 species
GAUGAACGCUGGCGGCGUGCCUAAUACAUGCAAGUCGAGCGAACGGACGAGAAGCUUGCUUUUCUGAUGUUAGCGGCGGACGGGUGAGUAACACGUGGAUAACCUACCUAUAAGACUGGGAUAACUUCGGGAAACCGGUGCUAAUACCGGAUAAUAUUUUCAACAGCAUGGUUCAAAAGUGAAAGACGGUCUUGCUGUCACUUUUCGAUGGAUCCGCGCUGCAUUAGCUAGUUGGUAAGGUAACGGCUUACCAAGGCAACGAUGCAUAGCCGACCUGAGAGGAUGAUCAGCCACACUGGAACUGAGACACGGUCCAGACUCCUACGGGAGGCAGCAGUAGGGAAUCUUCCGCAAUGGGCGAAAGCCUGACGGAGCAACGCCGCGUGAGUGAUGAAGGUCUUCGGAUCGUAAAACUCUGUUAGUAGGGAAGAACAGAUGUGUAAGUAACUGUGCGCAUCUUGACGGUACCUAAACAGAAAGCCACGGCUAACUACGUG